rnacentral:rRNA from 1 species
GAUGAACGCUGGCGGCGUGCCUAAUACAUGCAAGUCGAGCGAACGGACGAGAAGCUUGCUUCUCUGAUGUUAGCGGCGGACGGGUGAGUAACACGUGGAUAACCUACCUAUAAGACUGGGAUAACUUCGGGAAACCGGAGCUAAUACCGGAUAAUAUUUUGAACCGCAUGGUUCAAUAGUGAAAUACGGUCUUGCUGUCACUUAUAGAUGGAUCCGCGCUGCAUUAGCUAGUUGGUAAGGUAACGGCUUACCAAGGCUACGAUGCAUAGCCGACCUGAGAGGGUGAUCGGCCACACUGGAACUGAGACACGGUCCAGACUCCUACGGGAGGCAGCAGUAGGGAAUCUUCCGCAAUGGGCGAAAGCCUGACGGAGCAACGCCGCGUGAGUGAUGAAGGUCUUCGGAUCGUAAAACUCUGUUAUUAGGGAAGAACAUAUGUGUAAGUAACUGUGCACAUCUUGACGGUACCUAAUCAGAAAGCCACGGCUAACUACGUG